AUUGAACGCUGGCGGCAUGGCUAAAACAUGCAAGUCGAACGCACCAGCAAUGGUGAGUGGCGAAAGGGUCAGUAACGCGAUCGAACGUACCCCGAGGUGGGGGAGUAGGCACGGGAAACUGUGCGUAAUACCCCACUGUGAUCUACGGAUCAAAGAUUUUUCGUCCUUGGGAGCGGCGAUCGUCCUAUCAGGUAGUUGGCGGGGUAACGGCCCACCAAGCCUAAGACGGGUAGCGGGUGUGAGAGC
rnacentral:rRNA from 1 species